GGCCAAGUCAUAUCGGACUUUUCUCAAUCCCCCGGACUGCAGCAUGCCAGGCUUCCUUGUUCCUCAUCGUCUCCUGGAGUUUGCUCAAAUUCAUGUCCAUUGACUUGGACAGUCAGUUGUUUGAUACAUGGUUCUAACUGUUGCUUCUUGACCUGCAUACAGGUUUCUCAGGAGACAGGGAGAGAUCAAGAUGACAGAGGAUAUGGAGCUCACCUUCCUCCAUGAACACGUCAAAAAUAUAUCUACAUGUGGGACAAUUACCACUGACAAUUAACUGGAAACUGGGAGAGGACUCCUAUACUACCAAGGCUGCAAGAAAGAUCCAGCUACAAUCAGGUAGAAAGGAAAGAAAAGUAAUCAAGUAGAGACCUGUGUCCCUGAGGGAGGACUCAGAAGAGGAGGGGCAUUAGAUACUGAAACCCCAGCAGGUGGAGGAAGUUAAACACAUGAUGACCAGACAGUAGCCGUGACAUAAGCUGCCACAAUUCUGAGAAUUGGCCUCAAGGAAAUGGAAACAAACCGGCCCUGGAACUGAAGACUAAUUGUACUUAAAACAAUCACCACAUGACCAACUUUAAGAAGACUGGCGGAGCUGACUGUGUCUGCAUGAAGCCCCCUCUGUCUAUAAAAGCUCUUGCCCACUGCUUGUCAGUGGGGGGUGUCAGCCUUUGGACUAGAGUCUGCCCUUUCCCCCACCUCAGUUGCCAGCAUCUGAAAUAAAGUAAACUUACCUUUCCACAAAACUUGUCUUGCUAUUGGCUUUUGAGGGGUGAGUAGCCAGACCUCCACUUUUGGUUACACUUCCUACAGGGGCAGCCUUGGAAAGGAGGCAGGACAGAGGUUCAGGAAGGCAAAUGAAGGAGAGAAGGGCUCUUCAAUCUUCGUCCUUCAACAGUAACAACUGACAUGGACAGAGGACUGUCUUUUGCCAGACACCAUCCUGAGAGCCUUAACAUGUAAC
ensembl:lncRNA